rnacentral:rRNA from 2 species
GAACUUUCCAGAGAUGGAUUGGUGCCUUCGGGAACUGUGAGACAGGUGCUGCAUGGCUGUCGUCAGCUCGUGUUGUGAAAUGUUGGGUUAAGUCCCGCAACGAGCGCAACCCUUAUCCUUUGUUGCCAGCGGUCCGGCCGGGAACUCAAAGGAGACUGCCAGUGAUAAACUGGAGGAAGGUGGGGAUGACGUCAAGUCAUCAUGGCCCUUACGACCAGGGCUACACACGUGCUACAAUGGCGCAUACAAAGAGAAGCGACCUCGCGAGAGCAAGCGGACCUCAUAAAGUGCGUCGUAGUCCGGAUUGGAGUCUGCAACUCGACUCCAUGAAGUCGGAAUCGCUAGUAAUCGUGGAUCAGAAUGCCACGGUGAAUACGUUCCCGGGCCUUGUACACACCGCCCGUCACACCAUGGGAGUGAGUUGCAAAAGAAGUAGGUAGCUUAACCUUCGGGAGGGCGCUUACCACUUUGUGAUUCAUGACUGGGGUGAAGUCGUAACAAGGUAACCGUAGGGGAACCUGCGGUUGGAUCACCUCCUUA